CGUCCGGCGAUGUGGCAGCACGCCGAGUCGGCAUUCUCAAACCCUGUACAAAUGCAGCGAAGGAAGCUUUCAAUAUGUGAAGUGCAGAUUCCAGCUGAACCAGAAGCAUAGUUGACGCCAUGAAGAAUCACGGGUCCAGUCGAGGAAGGCGCCAAGUACGGGGGAGUGAAUGUCUCGAAGCCCAGCUCCUGACCUGGUAAGAUGGGAACAUAAACAUAAUAGACAUUGAACUCUUGUUUGCUGUCUUUUGUUGAUCUUAGUAAUGCAAUGUAGAUCACAAACUUGCCUAUUAUAUCAACAAUGGUUCGCCCGUUGGUGAAUCGACCAGUCGGCCAUCCGAAAUCGAUGCCAUUCGGCACGUAGUUUGCCCGGGAGAGUGAUGGAAUGUAGUUGUUGUUUCCAACCUCUACCAAUGAAUCCCCAAACACAAAAUUAGCUGUAAAAGCUCUAGAGAAGCAAGUUCCAAACAAGGUAAAUAGGGUAAAACAUAGGAUACCCAAAACAGUAUUGUUGUUGACAAAAAUGAUAUCCAUUUAGAAACAGUCUUCAAAGAGGAAAAAUAGAACAAAAACAGGUUCUUUUGGGUAUGUAAUGGUUCAAAGCCAGAGAUUCAGAAGAGAGCUUAGGAUUAGGAAGAAAAGGUAAGUUGAAGGAGAAAAACCAUUGAAUGCUCUAUCACACCUUCACCAACCUUGAGAAUAUGAGGGACUGCUAAUUGUUGAGGGGCUCUUAACUUCCAUGGGAGGUCUGAUUCGUACUCUGAUUAUAGCUUAAAUGCCUUCUUAUUUUCUG